GAAAGCAGCCCAUCUCGCUCAUGGCCCAUCCGACAGCCCUUAUCUUAAAGAAACGCUUCCUCAUUGCUUAUCGGCAGAUGUGGCUAUGCACAUGUUUUUUCGCUGGAGUUGCGAGCAACCGUAUCAUUAUCGCAGUUUCCCCGAAAGAGCUGUUUGAUGGGGUGUUUCCGC
rnacentral:lncRNA from 1 species